rnacentral:rRNA from 1 species
CUGUGAGCUCGAUGAGUAGGGCGGGACACGUGGUAUCCUGUCUGAAUAUGGGGGGACCAUCCUCCAAGGCUAAAUACUCCUGACUGACCGAUAGUGAACCAGUACCGUGAGGGAAAGGCGAAAAGAACCCCGGCGAGGGGAGUGAAAAAGAACCUGAAACCGUGUACGUACAAGCAGUGGGAGCCUCUUAAUGGGGUGACUGCGUACCUUUUGUAUAAUGGGUCAGCGACUUAUAUUCUGUAGCAAGGUUAACCGAAUAGGGGAGCCGAAGGGAAACCGAGUCUUAACUGGGCGUUAAGUUGCAGGGUAUAGACCCGAAACCCGGUGAUCUAGCCAUGGGCAGGUUGAAGGUUGGGUAACACUAACUGGAGGACCGAACCGACUAAUGUUGAAAAAUUAGCGGAUGACUUGUGGCUGGGGGUGAAAGGCCAAUCAAACCGGGAGAUAGCUGGUUCUCCCCGAAAGCUAUUUAGGUAGCGCCUCGUGAAUUCAUCUCCGGGGGUAGAGCACUGUUUCGGCAAGGGGGUCAUCCCGACUUACCAACCCGAUGCAAACUGCGAAUACCGGAGAAUGUUAUCACGGGAGACACACGGCGGGUGCUAACGUCCGUCGUGAAGAGGGAAACAACCCAGACCGCCAGCUAAGGUCCCAAAGUCAUGGUUAAGUGGGAAACGAUGUGGGAAGGCCCAGACAGCCAGGAUGUUGGCUUAGAAGCAGCCAUCAUUUAAAGAAAGCGUAAUAGCUCACUGGUCGAGUCGGCCUGCGCGGAAGAUGUAACGGGGCUAAACCAUGCACCGAAGCUGCGGCAGCGACACUAUGUGUUGUUGGGUAGGGGAGCGUUCUGUAAGCCUGUGAAGGUGUACUGUGAGGUAUGCUGGAGGUAUCAGAAGUGCGAAUGCUGACAUAAGUAACGAUAAAGCGGGUGAAAAGCCCGCUCGCCGGAAGACCAAGGGUUCCUGUCCAACGUUAAUCGGGGCAGGGUGAGUCGACCCCUAAGGCGAGGCCGAAAGGCGUAGUCGAUGGGAAACAGGUUAAUAUUCCUGUACUUGGUGUUACUGCGAAGGGGGGACGGAGAAGGCUAUGUUGGCCGGGCGACGGUUGUCCCGGUUUAAGCGUGUAGGCUGGUUUUCCAGGCAAAUCCGGAAAAUCAAGGCUGAGGCGUGAUGACGAGGCACUACGGUGCUGAAGCAACAAAUGCCCUGCUUCCAGGAAAAGCCUCUAAGCAU